rnacentral:rRNA from 1 species
AUUGAACGCUGGCGGAAUGCUUUACACAUGCAAGUCGAACGGCAGCACGGGGCAACCUGGUGGCGAGUGGCGAACGGGUGAGUAAUACAUCGGAACGUGCCCAAUCGUGGGGGAUAACGUAGCGAAAGUUACGCUAAUACCGCAUACGAUCUACGGAUGAAAGCGGGGGAUCGCAAGACCUCGCGCGAAUGGAGCGGCCGAUGUCAGAUUAGGUAGUUGGUGGGGUAAAGGCUCACCAAGCCGACGAUCUGUAGCUGGUCUGAGAGGACGACCAGCCACACUGGGACUGAGACACGGCCCAUACACCUACGGGAGGCAGCAGUGGGGAAUUUUGGACAAUGGGCGAAAGCCUGAUCCAGCCAUGCCGCGUGAGUGAAGAAGGCCU